rnacentral:rRNA from 1 species
GACGGGGGGGGCAAGUGUUCUUCGGAAUGACUGGGCGUAAAGGGCACGUAGGCGGUGAAUCGGGUUGAAAGUGAAAGUCGCCAAAAAGUGGCGGAAUGCUCUCGAAACCAAUUCACUUGAGUGAGACAGAGGAGAGUGGAAUUUGUAGUGUAGCAGUGAAAUGCGUAGAGAUCAUGAGGAAGACCAGUGGCGAAGGCGGGUCUCUGGACAGUUCCUGACACUGAGACACGAAGGCCAGGGGAGCAAACGGG